rnacentral:rRNA from 1 species
GACGAACGCUGGCGGCGUGCUUAACACAUGCAAGUCGAACGGUGAAGCGCCUUCCUUUUUGGUGGGUGUGGAUGAGUGGCGAACGGGUGAGUAACACGUGAGUAACCUGCCCCCUUCUUCUGGAUAACCGCAUGAAAGUGUGGCUAAUACGGGAUAUUCUGGGUCUGUCGCAUGAUGGGUCUGGGAAAGAUAUUGUUUCGGUGGGGGAUGGGCUCGCGGCCUAUCAGCUUGUUGGUGGGGUGAUGGCCUACCAAGGCGGUGACGGGUAGCCGGCCUGAGAGGGUGGACGGUCACACUGGGACUGAGACACGGCCCAGACUCCUACGGGAGGCAGCAGUGGGGAAUAUUGCACAAUGGGCGCAAGCCUGAUGCAGCGACGCCGCGUGAGGGAUGGAGGCCUUCGGGUUGUGAACCUCCUUCGCCAGUGAAGCAGGCCUGCCUCGUUUGUGGGUGGGUUGACGGUAGCUGGAUAAGAAGCGCCGGCUAACUACGUG